UACGAAGGGGGCUAGCGUUGCUCGGAAUCACUGGGCGUAAAGCGCACGUAGGCGGCUUCUUAAGUCAGGGGUGAAAUCCUGGAGCUCAACUCCAGAACUGCCUUUGAUACUGGCAAGCUUGGAGUCCGGGAGAGGUGAGUGGAACUGCGAGUGUAGAGGUGAAAUUCGUAGAUAUUCGCAAGAACACCAGUGGCGAAGGCGGCUCACUGGCCCGGAACUGACGCUGAGGUGCGAAAGCGUGGGGAGCAAACAGG
rnacentral:rRNA from 1 species